AUGACACUCAUUUCAUUAACCUUAGUUCUUAGUUUUCGUUGUGUGAUUUUGUGAUUUGUAUAAAUAAUACGAGUAAUUAUAAUUUUAUAUGAAUAUAUCGAGAUGAGCAAUUCAACAAAUAUGGUGUACUCUGAUCGGGAGAAGAUGCUAUUGACUACGUUGGUAAGAGAAAAUCGGCUUGUAGAGGAUAAAAGAGCGGACGCUGCGAUGAUAGCGGAUAAAAAGCGAAUAAAAAGCAUCCCAACAGUUACGUAGGUUGUGGAUAAAUUUGAAACACAGCUAAGUCUGAGGGGAUGUCUCACUUGGGUAAAAAAUGUGCUGCCAAAAGAUCUUUCUACUGCCCAUGCCAAUGACUGCGAAGAUAACUCUUCAGUUACAAAGCCAUAACAUAUACAAGAUAAGACAUAUCUGAUGGGUUGCUCUUUCAUAUUCUAGGAGUGUUGAAGAAAAUGUUGGUCCCUAUAAGUAGAUAAUGAGACCAAAAUACAUAAUAUGUAUAUAAUAUUGUUGUAAGAAAUAUGUGUUUAGAAGUUUUUAAAAUGGAUAUUACCAACGCACAUGAUACUGUUUAUAAAUACAGGUAUCAAUCAGAUGUUGGCAUAGGGCAAAAAAUGUGUAUCCAGAUAGUUUUUCUGAAGAGAUUUCUGAAAGCAAUAAAUAUAUGCAAAGUCAGAACUGAUCACACACAUGUAUUAUUUUCCUAUUAGACGGAGAGCUGGCUACAUAAAAAACCUUA